GGAUGUGAGGGGAUCUGUCUGCUGCAUCUGUUACCAUAUUCAUUGCAAGGGUUGAUUUGGCUGAUCUGGCUGUCUAGGCAGAUGUCCCCUUCCUCCCUCCACACUUCAUGUGUGUCCAUCCAGAAUCCAUGUACUUGGUGGAAAAGGAUGACCUUCCUGAAUUGAGGAGGACCUGCUUUGGGUCAAAUGUAUACAAGUAGCUGUGUUUCUCUGUGGAAACUCCAAACAAGCUCUCAUGAAUAGAGUAAGGUAGAUGGAAAGAUCCUCAGAUAUGCUAAACUUUGCUUA
rnacentral:snRNA from 1 species